UUCAACGGCCGCGGUAUUUUAACCGUGCGAAGGUAGCGUAAUCACUUGUCUUUUAAAUAAAGACUAGUAUGAAUGGCAUCACGAGAACUAAACUGUCUCCCUCCUCUAAUCAGUGAAACUGAUCUCCCCGUGCAGAAGCGGGGAUAAUAACAUAAGACGAGAAGACCCUGUGGAGCUUUAAAUCAAAAAUCAUCUGCUUGACCUACCCUGCUAUUAAGGAAAUAUCCACGCGGACCUGAUCCAGAUUUUCAGCUGGGGCGACUAUGGAGAAAAAACCAUCCUCCAUGAAGAAUCAUGCUAAGAAUGACCUGUCUAAGCAUUAAUAAACUUAACUUUAAUUGACCCAAAUUUUUUUUUGAUCAACGGACCAAGUUACCCCAGGGAUAACAGCGCAAUCCACUUUUAGAGUCCAUAUCGACAAGUGGGCUUACGACCUCGAUGUUGGAUCAGGGCACCCCAGUGGUGCAGCCACUACUAAAGGUUCGUUUGUUCAACGAUUAAAG
rnacentral:rRNA from 1 species